rnacentral:lncRNA from 1 species
UAGAAUUACGUCAAAUUCAAGUAUUUUCAAUGAAAUAAGAUCGACAGGUAAUGUGAGGGUACCGAUUUGAACCAAACAAGACUUAUAAAUAGUGGAUGUAAUGAAGGUUUCUCCUAACGGAGUUUCAACAGAUAAGUCAAUGUCUAAUUUCUCCGGAGUCAAAUUUAAACGUUGAGCGCAAGUAGGAGUGAUGAGUAUGAAAUAUGUUAUAUUUUUAUUCCUUAAUACUUAAUCUUUUAUAUUUAUUUUGUGCUUAAAUAUACUCAUUAUUCUUAUAUUUUUAUUUUAGGUACAAUUGAUGGACACUAUAAUUUUGAAUAUAAUUUGGAGGCAAAUUGAUCAUUAUCGGAAGAAGGGAGAACAAUUCCAGUAUUAUUGGGUUGACCCAAUUAGGCCAUGUAAUUAAGAGCCAUUAAAAGUCAUGUGGGCCAAUGUGGGGGAUAU